UCCCUGGAUUUAAAAUCAUAAGCUUGAGUGAAAGACAACACCGGUUGAGUCCUCCAACUCUAGCAUAAAGCCGCAUUGGACGCGUGCGCGGAGAUAUGCAGAGGCUGUUUUGGUCAUUCCUGGGUCCAGAAAGCGUGCUGGGUCCUGACAUGGUUUCUAUAGGUCCGCCCACAAUGUAAAGCUACAUGUAUGGUCAUUUAACGUGCCAGGUAAUGCUGGUGGAGGAAAGCCGGAAUACCCGAAGAAAAAUCACCGACCUGCGGACAGUAUCCGAAUGGUUCCGCAAGAUAUGGUUCCUUGUUAGGAAUGGAUGAUUCAUCGAAGUAAUACAAAUGUAUUCACGCCAGAUAAAGAAACGUGUUCAUUGAGCUGUUACAGUUUUUGACCGUAGUACUGAGAUCCUUAAAAAGGUGACACCCUAGGCCUUGUCCGUUCGAUGGAGACCUCACAACACGGUAUAAAAACAGAACUGCAAAUAUAUUUAUACACACUUGUAAGGUUGUACUUGACCAUGAGUGGGUUACCCUUUGGCCGACUAUAUACCGAUCCUUAACGCUAUUCUUGUUCACCUGUCUCUAUUUACUUGACUCCAAUACAUGACGACCACAGUGUUGAUACUGUUUUGUUCACCUGAAAGCCGUCAAAUCUGUCACGCUACGGUACCGGUACACCCGGUGCUCCCAUCGAUUUCAACACUCGUGUAUGGUGGACGGCUAUACUGGACAUUUCUCAUGUGUAAAUUCCGUUCUUGCAAUAUGCAUUUACCCAUAGAAAAAGGAAGAUGGUUAGGUAUUCCUCGUCAAGAAAGAACCUGUACAUUAUGUAAUUUGUACAUUGGAGAUGA